GCCUCCCUCCCGGGCGAGGGGGAGCCGAGGGUUUCGUAACCGCCCGCCCGGCCUGGCCGCGCCGCACACGGCGGGUGCGGGCGGAGGAGCAGCCUCCGCCGGGCGGAGCAGCAGCAGCCGCCGCUCCCUGCUCCGCUGCCGCUGGGUCCUCCCGCGGGGAGUGAGAAGCCAAGGAGCGGUGCGAGGUGCAGGUGAUCCGCCGAAGCGUGCGCGGGGCUGCCCGGUGCUCGCCGCCUCCCGGGUCGGGGAGCGGGAAGGUUACUUUGAAACCCGGCGGGGUUGCGCCUGCACCCAUCGCAUCGGCGUGAUUCGGAGAGGAGGAGGGUUCUCCUUGGGCUUCGCGAGCAAAUGCUUGGGACCCUGUUUUCUUCCUUUUGCCACAGUAGAUCUGUUAACGUCAGUGACUACAGCUUGAAGGUGCUUGUCCAGGUACUGGAAGGUUCAGGCCUGAGGUUUUCCUGCCCUCUCCGUAGCCACUGCCUGGUGCUGCCCUGAGAAGAAGCAGCAGCAGGUAAGGCAGACACUACCCUGAGGAGAAGCAUCAGGAAGGCAGCAGCUGCUCCGUGGCUGUGCAACUUGUCUUGUGUGAGAUUUGACCCGAGACUUGUCACGGGGUGAGACUUACUGCGAGACCUGCUGU
rnacentral:lncRNA from 14 species